rnacentral:rRNA from 1 species
CAACCGUGGAGGGCCAUCUGAAACUGGGGAGCUUGAGUGCAGGAGAGGAGAGCGGAAUUCCACGUGUAGCGGUGAAAUGCGUAGAGAUGUGGAGGAACACCAGUGGCGAAGGCGGCUCUCUGGCCUGUAACUGACGCUGAGGCGCGAAAGCGUGGGGAGCAACAGGAUUAGAUACCCUGGUAGUCCACGCCGUAAACGAUGAGUGCUAGGUGUUGGGGAGUCCACCUCCUCAGUGCCACAGCUAACGCAAUAAGCACUCCGCCUGGGGAGUACGGCCGCAAGGCUAAACUCAAAGGAAUUGACGGGGACCCGCACAAGCGGUGGAGCAUGUGGUUUAAUUCGAAGCAACGCGAAGAACCUUACCAGGGCUUGACAUCCCGCUGACCCCUCCAGAGAUGGAGGUUUCCUUCGGGACAGCGGUGACAGGUGGUGCAUGGUGUCGUCAGCUCGUGUCGUGAGAUGUGGGUUAAGUCCCGCAACGAGCGCAACCCUUGUCCUUUGUUGCCAGCAUUCAG